GAUGAACGCUGGCGGCGUGCCUAAUACAUGCAAGUCGAGCGAACAGACGAGGAGCUUGCUCCUCUGACGUUAGCGGCGGACGGGUGAGUAACACGUGGAUAACCUACCUAUAAGACUGGAAUAACUUCGGGAAACCGGAGCUAAUACCGGAUAACAUGUUGAACCGCAUGGUUCGACAGUGAAAGACGGUUUUGCUGUCACUUAUAGAUGGAUCCGCGCCGCAUUAGCUAGUUGGUAAGGUAACGGCUUACCAAGGCAACGAUGCGUAGCCGACCUGAGAGGGUGAUCGGCCACACUGGAACUGAGACACGGUCCAGACUCCUACGGGAGGCAGCAGUAGGGAAUCUUCCGCAAUGGGCGAAAGCCUGACGGAGCAACGCCGCGUGAGUGAAGAAGGUCUUCGGAUCGUAAAACUCUGUUAUUAGGGAAGAACAAAUGUGUAAGUAACUAUGCACGUCUUGACGGUACCUAAUCAGAAAGCCACGGCUAACUACGUG
rnacentral:rRNA from 1 species